rnacentral:lncRNA from 1 species
GAAGAGGGUACCUUGGAUGCACUCAAAUGCGCUGCUUGUAACUGCCACCGAAAUUUCCACCGCAAGGAGAUUGAUGGAGGUGGUGAGGCAAUAUAUCACCACCACCAACAUCAUCCCCAAUUCUCUCCUUUCUAUCGUGCUCCUCCACCUGCUGGGUACCUACACUUGGCACCACCCCACCAGCACAGGCCUUUAGCUCUACCCGCAGCAUCUGGAGGGGGAGCCGGAGGUGCUGUGUACAGCAGGGAGGAAGAGGAUGUGUCUAAUCCUAGUAGUAGUGGCGGGGGCGGCGGAGGAGGCGGCGCUACUGGGAGUUCAAAGAAGAGAUU